rnacentral:lncRNA from 1 species
CCUGAGUGACACGAACGAGGGGUCUUUUGAGGAAGUUGCUCUGAAUAGUCCUCCCGUACCACAAACGGAUACCGUGCAUCCAUUUUCUGUCAUGUCUGCGCGUGAAGCCCGAGAUAUUUUGCGAGGGGUACGCAUUUCUGGGCGUUUGCGAUUUUGGAGGUCGCAAUAUCAACCUGCCAACAUUCCUCUUGUGGGGUUUCAAGCGAUUCCCCGACUGUACUUCCGACACUUCUCCG